UACGAAGGGGGCUAGCGUUGUUCGGAAUUACUGGGCGUAAAGCGCGCGCAGGCGGUUUCUCAAGUCAGUGGUGAAAGCCCGGAGCUCAACUCCGGAACUGCCAUUGAAACUGUAAAACUUGAGGACGAGAGAGGUGAGUGGAAUUCCCAGUGUAGAGGUGAAAUUCGUAGAUAUUGGGAAGAACACCGGUGGCGAAGGCGGCUCACUGGCUCGUAUCUGACGCUCAGGCGCGACAGCGUGGGGAUCAACAGG
rnacentral:rRNA from 1 species